ensembl:snRNA Gm25633 predicted gene, 25633
GUGCUUGCUUCGGCAGCACAUAGACUAAAAUUGGAACGAUACAGAGAAGAUUAGCAUGGCCUCUGCGCAAGGAUGGCACACAAAUUCAUGAAGGGUUCCAUAUUUUU